ACAAGUAAGUACGAAAGGGCGUACGGUGGAUGCCUAGGCUCUUACAGGCGAUGAAGGACGUGACAAGCUGCGAUAAGCCGCGGUUAGGCGCAAAUAGCCUUUGACCCGCGGAUUUCCGAAUGGGACAACCCGGCAGUAUGAAGUACUGUCAUCCCUUUUUUGGGAGGCGAACCCGGCGAACUGAAACAUCUUAGUAGCCGGAGGAAGAGAAAACAAAAGUGAUUCCCCAAGUAGUGGCGAGCGAACGGGGAUUAGCCCAAACCACGGGGGUUCCGGCCCUUGUGGGGUUGUAGGACAGCGUUAUUGUACAUCAGAUGGCGAGCGGAACGUAUUGGAAAGUGCGUCCGUAGAGGGUGACAGGCCCGUACGCGAAGUUAUCUGUGACAUAGCUGUAUCCUGAGUAGCGCGGGACACGAGAAAUCCUGUGUGAAUCCGGCGGGCCCAUCCGCCAAGGCUAAAUACUCGUAAGAGACCGAUAGUGUACCAGUACCGUGAGGGAAAGGUGAAAAGCACCCCGUGUAGGGGAGUGAAAUAGUUCCUGAAACCGUACGCCUACAAGCGGUCGGAGCCAUAUUUUUUAUGGUGACGGCGUGCCUUUUGCAUAAUGAACCUACGAGUUGUCGUACGCGGCGAGGUUAAGCGCAAUGAUGCGCGCAGCCGAAGCGAAAGCGAGUCUUAAAAGGGCGGCUAGUCACGUGCGGCAGACGCGAAACCAAGUGAUCUACCCUUGUCCAGGGUGAAGUCCCGGUAACACGGGAUGGAGGCCCGCACCAAUAAGCGUUGAAAAGCUUCUGGAUGAGGUGAGGGUAGGAGUGAAAGGCCAAUCAAACUUGGAGAUAGCUCGUACUCCCCGAAAUGCAUUUAGGUGCAGCCCCGAUUGUUUCCUGCAUGAGGUAGAGCGACUGAUCGGAUGCGAGGGCUUCACCGCCUAUCAAGUCCGGACAAACUCCGAAUGCGUGCAGGUUAAGAUUGGGAGUGAGGGCGCGGGUGCUAAGGUCCACGCCCGAGAGGAGAAGAAUCCAGACCGCCGGCUAAGGCCCCGAAAUAAUGGUUAAGUUAGACUAACGAGGUGUGGUUCCGGUGACAGCUAGGAUGUUGGCUUGGAAGCAGCCAUUCAUUCAAAGAGUGCGUAACAGCUCACUAGUCGAGGGACCGUGCAUGGAUAAUAAUCGGGUAUUAAACCAUUUGCCGAAGCCGCGGGAUGCAUAUUUAUUGUGUAUCGGUAGGGGAGCAUUCCCUUCUGCCUUGAAGGCGCAUGGUGAUGUGCGCUGGAGCGUUGGGAAAAGCAAAUGUAGGUAUAAGUAACGAUAAGGAGGGUGAGAUGCCCUCCCGCCGAAAGACCAAGGUUUCCCGGGCAACGCUAAUCGUCCCGGGGUUAGUCGGGUCCUAAGGAUAAGCCGAAUGGCGAGGCCGAUGGCAGAAACGGUUAAUAUUCCGUUACUGCCGCAACGGGCGAUGUGGAGACGGAGAAGUGACACUCCCGCGCGCUGACGGAAUAGCGCGUUUAAGGAUGUAGGUGUUGAUGGGGGCAGGCAAAUCCACCCCCUGAGCUGAACUCUGAAAGUACGCAAGGCCUUCGGGCUGCGCGAGUGGAGGUAAUCAUGCUUCCUAGAAAAUCCGCUAAGCUUAACCGUUGCGGCACCCGUACCGUAAACGGACACACGUGGUCGGGUAGAAUAUACUAAGGCGCUUGGAAGAUUCACGGUUAAGGAACUAGGCAAAUUGACCCUGUAACUUCGGGAAAAAGGGUCCUCACAUUUUAGUGAGGCGCAGAGAAUAGGUCCAGGCAACUGUUUACCAAAAACACAGGGCUGUGCAAAUUACAGAGAAGACGUAUACAGCCUGACACCUGCCCGGUGCUGGAAGGUUAAGAGGAGAGGUCAUCCUUCGGGUGCAGCCUUGAAUUGAAGCCCCAGUAAACGGCGGCCGUAACUAUAACGGUCCUAAGGUAGCGAAAUUCCUUGUCGGGUAAGUUCCGACCUGCACGAAUGGUGUAAUGAUCCGGACACUGUCUCAACCGUGAUUCCAGUGAAAUUGUAGUAUCGGUGAAGAUGCCGAUUACCCGCGAUGGGACGAAAAGACCCCGUGAACCUUUACUACAGCUUAACGUUGUGACCGGGCCGUGGAUGUGUAGGAUAGGCCGGAGGCUAUGAAGUAGGUACGCCAGUAUUUAUGGAGCCGCCGUUGAAAUACGGCCCUUCCGCUGUUUGGUUUCUAACGCGCUUGUUGCGCGGACAGCGUUUGGUGGGUAGUUUGACUGGGGUGGUCGCCUCCAAAAGCGUAACGGAGGCUUCUAAAGGUGCCCUCAGGCCGAUUGGUAACCGGCCGCAGAGUGUAAUGGCAUAAGGGCGCUUGACUGGGAGGCCGACAGGCCGCACAGGUAGGAAACUAGAGCAUAGUGAUCCGGUGGUUCCGUAUGGAAGGGCCAUCGCUCAAAGGAUAAAAGGUACUCCGGGGAUAACAGGCUGAUCCCUCCCAAGAGCUCAUAUCGACGGAGUGGUUUGGCACCUCGAUGUCGGCUCGUCACAUCCUGGGGCUGGAGAAGGUCCCAAGGGUUGGGCUGUUCGCCCAUUAAAGUGGCACGCGAGCUGGGUUCAGAACGUCGUGAGACAGUUCGGUCUCUAUCUAUCGUGGGCGCAGGAAAUUUGCGGGGCUCUGACACUAGUACGAGAGGACCGUGUCGGACUGACCUCUGGUCUGCCGGUUGUGCCGCCAGGUGCACUGCCGGGUAGCCAUGUCGGGAUCGGAUAAGCGCUGAAAGCAUCUAAGUGCGAAGCCGGCCCCAAGAUUAGAUUUCCUUAUGAGGGUCGUCAUAGACGAUGACGUUGAUAGGCUGCAGGUGUAAAGUCGGCGACGGCAAAGCCGAGCAGUACUAAUUGCCCGAAACUUACUGUU
rnacentral:rRNA from 1 species